rnacentral:rRNA from 1 species
UACGGAGGGGGCUAGCGUUGUUCGGAAUUACUGGGCGUAAAGCGCACGUAGGCGGCUUUGCAAGUUAGAGGUGAAAGCCCAGGGCUUAACCCUGGAAUUGCCUUUAAGACUGCAUCGCUCGAAUUGUGGAGAGGUGAGUGGAAUUCCGAGUGUAGAGGUGAAAUUCGUAGAUAUUCGGAAGAACACCAGUGGCGAAGGCGACUCACUGGACACAUAUUGACGCUGAGGUGCGAAAGCGUGGGGAGCAAACAGG